rnacentral:rRNA from 1 species
GAUGAACGCUGGCGGCGUGCCUAAUACAUGCAAGUCGAGCGAACAGAUGAGGAGCUUGCUCCUCUGACGUUAGCGGCGGACGGGUGAGUAACACGUGGAUAACCUACCUAUAAGACUGGGAUAACUUCGGGAAACCGGAGCUAAUACCGGAUAAUAUAUUGAACCGAAUGGUUCAAUAGUGAAAUACGGUUUUGCUGUCACUUAUAGAUGGAUCCGCGCCGCAUUAGCUAGUUGGUAAGGUGACGGCUUACCAAGGCGGCGAUGCGUAGCCGACCUGAGAGCGAGAUCCGCCACACUGGAACUGAGACACGGCCCCGACUCCUACAGUAGGCCGCAGUAGGGACUCUUCCGCAAUGGACGAGUGCUUAACCGAGCAACACGGCGUGAGUGCUGAAGGUCUUCGGCUCGUAAAACUCUGUUAUUCGGGAAGAUCAAAUGUGUUAGCACCUAUGCACGUAUUGACGGUACCUAAUCAAAAAGCCCCGGCUAACUUCGUG